AUGGAGCCGGUGCAUUACCCAGCGGUUGCGACAGCAGCGGAGGAGCUGUCCCCAAUGGCCACUGGAAGCGUUGACGGGCAGAUCUGUGCGGCGGAUGGGGCAGUUGCGGCGGAGGGGGAUGAUGAACCGCAGGCAUCUGAGAAAUCUAUUGGCCAGGUUGAUCCAAAAACACCUGGCUGGACUCGCAGGGUUAGAAUUGGAGCUGCUGCUCCUGGCAGGGCGCCUUGCCCUGGGCGAACCAGUGCCCUUGAGAAGGCAAUUCGGGGGUUUGGUGACAAGCCGGGGAGCAUUGUAAUUGUACCAGCACUGGGCACAAGCUUUGAUGCACUCGGGGAGGCCUAUGAUUUCUACAAUCUCUGCUCGUGGGAGAAGGGAUUUGGUAUAAGAUAUGGGAAGAGUAGGCUGAAUGUGGAGAGAACAAAAUGCAUGCAGGAAAUUGUUUGCGGAUGUGCGGGUAAACCGGGUGUGGAAAACACAAGAUCAUGCCGAUGUGAAUGCCCGACAUUAAUAAGACUGCUUCGCACAAAGGACAAUGGUUGGUACAUAGUUGAGCAUCGUGAAUAG
rnacentral:rRNA from 1 species